ensembl:snoRNA
UGCACUGCAUGGUAUCUGCACUCAGCAGUUUAUUCCUGCUGAUGUGUUCAAAGGACAGUGCGAUAGAAAUUCAAUAUCUGGCAUCGCUGGUUUUCUUGGCCUUGUGCAGUUAAACCUGGUAUUUCUAUUGAUACAAUU